rnacentral:lncRNA from 1 species
GUAGGUUUAUGUUGAAAUAUAGCAAAUAUUUGUGUUAGGUUUUUUUUUAAUAGAUUAUUUUCUUUUUUUUUUUUUCUUCUCAAUUGGAUCCUCUUUCACAGAGCAUCGACGGUGGAAAGUUGUUGUAAUAGAUUUCCAGUUUUACUAUGAGAAAUCAUGAAUUCUCUCAUUCCCAAUUUGCUUUUUAUUAGCCCUAAUUUGGUGAUGUUUUGAUUUUAGAUUUCAGAAAACCUUUUUUAUUUAUGUUGUAAUUAAACAAUUUUCAUCCAAGACCCUCUACAUAUGUCACGUUUUUUAAGUAUUUCACCUUACAUUGACA